UGGGAUUAACAAAUACAUCAUCACAGUGACUCACACAGGUGUCAAAUAAAACACAUGGAAAGAGGAAGGUUAAAAGAGAAUAUUUUUCCUCUAUCUUUAUGACACAAAAUAAAAGCAGCAAAAACAAUAUAACAUGUCCAAGAUGCCAUUACAAUGAAAAUUGCACACACUAGUGUAUCACAGUGACUCACACAGGAGUAAAAUGAAACACA